GACGAACGCUGGCGGCGUGCUUAACACAUGCAAGUCGAACGGAAAGGCCCUGCUUUUGUGGGGUGCUCGAGUGGCGAACGGGUGAGUAACACGUGAGUAACCUGCCCUUGACUUUGGGAUAACUUCAGGAAACUGGGGCUAAUACCGGAUAGGAGCUCCUGCUGCAUGGUGGGGGUUGGAAAGUUUCGGCGGUUGGGGAUGGACACGCGGCUUAUCAGCUUGUUGGUGGGGUAGUGGCUUACCAAGGCUUUGACGGGUAGCCGGCCUGAGAGGGUGACCGGCCACAUUGGGACUGAGAUACGGCCCAGACUCCUACGGGAGGCAGCAGUGGGGAAUAUUGCACAAUGGGCGGAAGCCUGAUGCAGCAACGCCGCGUGCGGGAUGACGGCCUUCGGGUUGUAAACCGCUUUCGCCUGUGACGAAGCGUGAGCGACGGUAAUGGGUAAAGAAGCACCGGCUAACUACGUG
rnacentral:rRNA from 1 species